UUCCGGUUGAUCCCGCCGGACCCCACUGCUAUCGAGGUGGGACUUAGCCAUGCUAGUCGAACGAACAGAACUAUGUCUGUAAGUGGCAUACUGCUCAGUAACACGUAGCUAACCUACCCUUAGGACGUCGAUAACCCCGAGAAAUUGGGGCUAAUAGGCGAUAGAUGUAUUGUCCUGGAAUGGUAAUAUGUCCAAAGGUAUCCCAUACAUGUUUGGUAUACGCCUAAGGAUGGGGCUGCGGCCGAUCAGGCUGUUGGUGAGGUAAUGGCUCACCAAACCUUUGACCGGUACGGGCCAUGAGAGUGGUAGCCCGGAGAUGGACACUGAGACAAGGGUCCAGGCCCUAAGGGGCGCAGCAACCGCGAAACCUCCACAAUGCACUCACGUGCGAUGGGGCUAUCUCGAGUGCCACCUGAUGAAGGUGGCUUUUCCUUGGUCUUCAAGGCCUUGGGAAUAAGAGGGGGGCAAGACUGGUGUCAGCCGCCGCGGUAACACCAGCCCCUCGAGUGGUGGGGAUGAUUAUUUGGCCUAAAGCGUCCGUAGCCGGCCGGGUAAGUUUCCCGUUAAAUCCAGCGUCUCAAGCGUUGGACUGCGGGAAAUACUGCCUGGCUAGAGAGUGGGAGAGGUCAGCGGUAUUCUGGGGGUAGGGGCGAAAUCCUUUGAUCCCCGGAGGACCACCAGUGGCGAAGGCUGCUGACUAGAACACGUCUGACGGUCAGGGACGAAAGCUGGGGUAGCGAACCGGAUUAGAUACCCGGGUAGUCCCAGCCGUAAACGAUGCAUGCUAGGUGUUGGGUUGGCCACGAGCCACCCCAGUGCCGCAGGGAAGCCGUUAAGCAUGCCGCCUGGGAAGUACGAUCGCAAGGUUGAAACUUAAAGGAAUUGGCGGGGGAGCACCACCAGGCGUGAAGCCUGCGGUUUAAUUGGAUUCAACGCCGGA
rnacentral:rRNA from 1 species